AUGAUGAGGCCUCCCCCGCCUAGCACCAGAGAGCAUGUUCCACCUCACCAGGAGCAGGAAAGCCUGAGGAUGACUAGGCAUACCUGGGGCCCCUCUCCCAUCCCUGGCCCUCUGCCCUUACCCAGCUCCAGCCCUGUCUCAGACUCCGGCCCCAACGUCAUCAUAGAGGAGAUUAUAGAGGAGAUUGAACAAGGAGGAGAAGGGAAGGACGAAGUCAGUUUGAAAUCCUGCCAUCAAGUCACCACAGCCUCAUCCAAAACCACUGCAUCAGGGUUCUCAGUUGGAGUUGUCCCAGCUCACCUGUCUGAGCUGCAGCAGGCCAGUGAGAGACAGAGAGCCCAGAGGAGCAGCAAGAAGAGCCAGGAGGACCUCCCACCUGUCAGUCAGGGGAAAGGUAGAAGAGAGACAGACACACAUUUCACAUAAUAACAUGCACAACAGUUAUGGUCACGUAAUCUAUAACUUGAUGAAUAGAGACACAUAGAAACUGUGCGUGUGUUCAGUGUUCCAGGAGUGGGUGAUGGUGACCCAUGUGGUGAACCCUAACCACUUCUACAUCCGCCACGUGGCAGAGCAGAGGGCCUGUAUUCUGCUGUCCAAGAAGAUCAACUCCCUCUGCUCUGGAGAGAGAGGACUGUUCACAGCCAGCGACAUACUGGAGACUGGUGAGAUCACUGUGUGUGUGUGAUACCUUACUGUGGGUAUGUCCCUCUCCCUAGGCUUUAUGGUGUUUGUGAAAUGAAAGCAGUGCGAUGUUGCCACUGACUAUUGCGCGUGAGUGUCUCCGUCAGGCUCCACAGUGUUUGUGAAGUGGAAGGAGGGGAUGUGGUGUCGGGCCACCCUGACAGAACUGUUCCAGAGAGGUCACCUGGACCCGGUCCGCAGCUGUCCUGUUCCUGAACUUCACCGUGUCAGAGUCUACUUCCAAGACUACGGUUUCUGCAAGGGAAUAGCCCUGCAGAGGUACAGACGCACACGCACACACGUGAAAAACCUAGUAGGCAUAAAAAGGGACAGAACAUUGAUUAGUUUUUUUCAGUCACCCAGGUCUGUCUUUCUCUUACACCUCUACUUCCCCAUUCCCAGUGAGGAGGCGGGUCCAGACCUGUUCAUCAGGGACAUGAAUGAGCGUCUGAGAAGAGUGGACGUGGCCGGCCAAUCAGAAAUGAGCCGCUGGCUCCCUCAGGCUAUCAAGUGUUCCCUCAAGGACAUUGUGCCUGCAGACCUGGUAAGUCGAUGACAUCGUGCCUGCAGAUCUUGUAAGGGGCAUACAUUUGCAUAUUGUCCAUAUUCUGACAUAACAUUUGUGUAUGUCGCCAUCUAUCUUUUUCUUCCAAGUGAAGGGCUUUUAUAUAAGUGACUAGGAUAAGUUUAGAUUUGUUUUCUUUACCUGCAUCCCCCUCCUUUUCCUCUCUUCUCUCCCAGACUAAAGGCUGGAGUGCGGAGGCCCAGGAUGAGUUUCGCCGCGUGGUGGGCUCAGCCUCAGUAGAGAUGCAGGUGUUUGGUCAGGAGAGAGGUGCUCUGCUGGUGGACCUGAAGAAAGCCCCCAUGGACAGCGGUUCCAGCAACAUGCCCAUGUCCCUCCGAGAGUACCUGGUCUUCCUCGAGCUCGCCAGGUACAUACAUACUCGGGGUUCGUAUGGUCAUGAAAAGACAUGGAAUUUUUUGAAUGGUGUUUUCCAGGCCUGGAAAGGUUUUGGAAAAUGAUCAAAUCUGAAAAGUUGUGGAAAAAGUAAUUUCUGUUAAUGUAAUUUGUUUAGAGACCGUUUUUAAAUAUUUUAUAAAUCAAAUUAAAAUCCACAUAUCAGCCAGGAUCGGAAUGACACUUUUGCACAGCUGUGUUUACACGCAUCACCUGCAUUUGUGAGAAAAGAGUGGGCUGUUGCUGAAGGAGAGCGAGACAGUCGAACAUUGCAGCAGCAGGUAGGCCUCGCCUAUAAAAUAUGUUAUACAACGGGUGGGUCUAAUGCUGAUUGGUUAAAAUCGCAUUCCAGACUAUUACAUAAGUUACCACCGGCUAAAUCUAUGACGUUAAAAUGCGUAUUUACUCUGUUCCAUCUGACUGGGCAACCUGCUGUCUCGUCAGCCAAGCAAUUUAUCAACUCGAUCUCCACUGUAAAAACAUCUAGACAUUAUCUCACAUUUCUUUUAGACUAACAUUUAGUUUUCAACAGCAGAGAUUGGUAUAAACCUUGCUGUCUGUCUCCGACAUUUGCAACAUUGUUUCAAUAUUCAAAUUUGAUCUCCAGCUGUCCCAUAGUAAUGAACGUGACAAGACCGGCAGGCAGCGUUUCUCAGCCAGUCGAAAUCAUGAAUCAGCUGGCAUAAUUUUUAUGGGUAUAUACAAAGAAAUGUCAAUUGAAAAAAUGUCAAACUAAACGAAGUGCAACUAGUUUGCAGUCUUUUCAGUUUGAAGGAAUUGUGUUAGCUGAGUUGUUGGCUAGCUCCUCUGAACAUUUUCUAUGCCAGCCGAAAUCGCGCCUUAUUAGCUCAUUGUUAUGGAUGUAUCCAAAUAAAUGUCACUAGAAAACAGCUUAAACAAAUGCAACUACUUUGCUGUUAUUCUGGCUGCACUUUUUUAUGUGACUGUAAAUUAGCUGUAGUUAGUUAGAUAGCAAGCAAGAGAUAAGAACAUUGCCAGCUGGAAUUGCAAGUGUGUCUCGUCCAUAGAUGCAGAACAAAAAGACUGAAUGACUGGGUCGCGUCUCUGGCACCCGAACCGAUCGAACGAACGAACGACCAGCCUGCUUGGUUAGCAACCUUAGAUUUGUGUUGGGACUAUAUCUUGUGGAAGGAUGAAAUAGUAUGAAUAUAUUCAUAAACAAUUUUUUUAAUGGAAAUAUGUCAAUGAUUAUUGUAAUAUGUUGGUAACACGUUGUAUAAAAGUGAUAAUGCCCUCGAAGCCGGUGUUUGGAGGAUAUAUUGGCACGUUUUACCGGACUUUUUCUCAGGCUGAACAGACUAAUAACUUUGUAGCCAAUUCAAAACAUAUCUUGUGCCCUUUAGUUAACUGUUAAGCUAUUGUUAGCUUGUAUUAAUGUUUUCGUCAUGUCCAAAACACUUGCGAUUAAGGCCAUACAAAGUUGAUUUACUUUUUUGAACGACUCAGAUUAUUCAUUUUAAACUAUUAUUUUUUACGAAACGAACAACACAUUUCACCAUUGUAUUAGUUUGGAUUUGGUUCAAAUGCAGUGAAUCAAAAUAAGAAUUUGUGAAUCGUGAACAGUAAAUUUAGAAAAAAGGAUUAGAUGUAGCCUUUCUUUUGGAUUAAGUGGCUUCAACUUGUUUUGGUGAUACUUUUAUAGUUUAUUUGGGCAUGCAAUGUAUGGGACAUUGCAACUCAAUAGAUGCUAGUCAGCCUGCAACAUAAACACCUCAAAGGUAACUAAAAUAAAUUAGAAAAGGUACAUUUCCUGAAGAAAAUGUGUGGGCUUGCUUCAGCUGAAUAAAAAUAAUUGGAGCCUAUCAAAGCCAUUUGAUCUUUUGAUAUAUAAAAUGAGCAUAUUAUUUAAAAAGGCAUAAAAUGUAUUUGGUUGUAAUGUUGCAAUUUUAUGCAUCAAGGGUGGUCAACUAUCCUCCAGGAGAGCUAAUGGGUGGGCAGGCUUUUAUUCCAGUCCCCCUCAAACAAACCACAUUUUAGAAAUUAGCUGCUGAACCGAACCUUGAUAAACUGUCUGUGUUUGAGCGGGGCUUGAUCAAAAGCCUGCACACCCAGUAGCUCUCCAGACUGACCUCUUGUUUUGUACAGUUGCCUAACAGGUAUUCUACUUUGUGGUGGGGUUAAGUGCUUUGCACAACGACAGGAGUUGGUAUCAGAGAGCAGCCUCCCAGGGUUGAUACCACAUUACAUACUGUUUUAUACGUACACACAGACGGCACCAAUUAUUGGUCAUGGAAAUUUGGUUAAAAGUCAUGAAAAAGUCUUAAUUCCAUUUGUCAAAAUGUGUAUGAACCCUGCAUACUGUACAUAUCCAGUGUUUCCCUUAUGAGUUUUGCGGAAGGCUGCAUCAGUUUCUUCCUUGUUGCUAUGGAUAAUCAGUAGUAAUAUGUUUGUCCCGUUCUGCUGCUGUAGGUUUUACUCUCCUGUGGCGUGGAAUGCCAAGACUGUGCCAUGUGGCAGGAGGCCUCUCCAGUUCUACCUUCCUGUCUUCCCUCGUACCAACGUAGAGCUCAACGCUGUGGUGUCCCACAUAGACACACCCUCACACUUCUACAUCCAACUGGUAGGUCACACACAAACACACACACACAUGAAAGCAUUAUCAACUGAUAUUCCAGUGCCCUCUCUAACUCUUCCCCCUCGCUGAUUAAACGCAGGUUGACAACAUGGAGUUCCUGCUGCUGACAGCCAAGCUGCAGGAGUGUUACAGCUAUGACUGCCCCAGCAGGGGGACCAGAGGAGAGGACCAGGACUUGGAGGUCUACUGUCCUGUCCUGGAUCAGGCCUGUGUGGCACGCUUUGACGACAAGGUCUGGUACAGGGCCCAUGUCAUCGGUCAGUACACUGUCUGUGCGUGGGUACACUUAGGGCAGUUGCGGUGACCGAAUUACCGCCACACCGGCAGUCAUGAGUCACAUAGGCCAACAUGAAUGCUCUCUGUAGGCCUACAUGAAUGGCGCUGAUGCAUAAGGCAGAAUAAUCAACUGGAGUUAAGAGGUCCCGUUCCAAAAUGGACCCGGGGCUUUCCCAGACGGACACAAUAUGCACAGUACACUUUUUAACAUAGAGACCCGGUCAGGUUCACAACCUUGUAUGAGAAAAUUCCAUUUAUUUUGUGUACUUUAUUAACCGGAGUGGAGGAAAGGAGAGGGAGAGCAAGAGAACGAGCAUGGCACUAGGGAGAAGGGGCCUGUGGUGUGUGUGGGUGUGCGCAGUGAGUGACACGAGCAGGCACAGAAAGAGAGAGCGACGGCAAGCACUUUUAACUCGCGCUAGCAGACUUCUUGCUUGUUAUUUCUCAUCAUAUCUGAUGAAAUAGUACCAGUCUUGACUGCGUCAAACUGAGAGAAGCUAGCUAGGUAGGUUAAUUGAGGCUAGUCUACAUAACGUUACUGCGCUUCUUUUCUUCCUUCAGUGUGUGUGCGUACUGUUACAAAUAACAACUCCUUUCAGAUUAUU
rnacentral:lncRNA from 13 species